rnacentral:rRNA from 1 species
GACGAACGCUGGCGGCGUGCUUAACACAUGCAAGUCGAACGGUGAAGGGACUGGUUUUGCUGGUCCUGGAUGAGUGGCGAACGGGUGAGUAACACGGGAGUAACCUGCCCCCUUCUUCUGGAUAACCGCAUGAAAGUGUGGCUAAUACGGGGUAUUCUGGGUCUGUCGCAUGGUGGGGCUGGGAAAGAUUGCGCCUUUUUUGGUGUUUUGGGUGGGGGAUGGGCUCGCGGCCUAUCAGCUUGUUGGUGGGGUGAUGGCCUACCAAGGGGGUGACGGGUAGCCGGCCUGAGAGGGGGGACGGGCACGCUGGGGCUGAGACACGGCCCAGACUCCUACGGGAGGCAGCAGUGGGGAAUAUUGCACAAUGGGCGCAAGCCUGAUGCAGCGACGCCGCGUGAGGGAUGGAGGCCUUCGGGUUGUGAACCUCUUUCGCCAGUGAAGCAGGCCUGCCUCUUUUUGUGGGUGGGUUGACGGUAGCUGGAUAAGAAGCGCCGGCUAACUACGUG